GACGAACGCUGGCGGCGUGCUUAACACAUGCAAGUCGAACGGAAAGGCCCUGCUUUUGUGGGGUGCUCGAGUGGCGAACGGGUGAGUAACACGUGAGUAACCUGCCCUUGACUUUGGGAUAACUUCAGGAAACUGGGGCUAAUACCGGAUAGGAGCUCCUGCUGCAUGGUGGGGGUUGGAAAGUUUCGGCGGUUGGGGAUGGACUCGCGGCUUAUCAGCUUGUUGGUGGGGUAGUGGCAUACCAAGGCUUUGACGGGUAGCCGGCCUGGGAGGGUGACCGGCCACAAUGGGACUGAGAUACGGCCCAGACUCCUACGGGAGGCAGCAGUGGGGAAUAUUGCACAAUGGGCGGAAGCCUGAUGCAGCAACGCCGCGUGCGGGAUGACGGCCUUCGGGUUGUAAACCGCUUUCGCCUGUGACGAAGCGUGAGUGACGGUAAUGGGUAAAGAAGCACCGGCUAACUACGUG
rnacentral:rRNA from 1 species